rnacentral:lncRNA from 1 species
AAUUAAAGUUCCCAACCCCUCCCUUUGCUACCGGCAUCAGAUCUCGGCGUCCCUUGCGACGCCGUUUUCGUCUGCCUCUCCGCUCAUUUUUUUCAUUGAACCUCUGUUAAUGAUUAGGUGUGUUGGUGAGUUUUAGCAGCGUCAAUGGAAGUUUCAGAUGUUGCACAAGAGGGCUAAUUUUGCUACAGUGGCUAUGUGUCUUCCAUGGUGAACUAGUGGUUAUGUGAUGAUUUUGUUCCGGUGAUUCUGUUCAUAGAUUAUUUUUUUAUGUUGAGAUCUGGGUUUGAUUGUGUGUGAUCUUCUUCUUCGAGCCUCAAAAAUCUGUCAUAAGAUCCAACAUUAAGAAAACGUUGUUCAUUCAUAUUAGUUUUGAGAUCUGGGUUUGACUUAUGGCUUUCUGAGCUUCAUGGUCAUUUUUCGAAGAAGAAAAGAAUUAGAAGAAGGGAGAUUUUUUUUUUUUGUAGUUUAUAUAGUACCAUAACAAUUAAGAGUGUUCAAGUAAGCUUAUAGCAGUGAAAUUUGUUAAAUUUGUCCAGCUUAAGCAUGUUUGGCUG